rnacentral:lncRNA from 1 species
AGAUCUUCAAAGGUGGCUAUUUAUAGCCCCGUAUAGACGACUCCUUAUCUGACUAGAACUCUAUCCCUAAUUCAAAUAGAAAACGAAUAUUUACAAGCACGACUCGUACUAGGUUGGUUAUUAUACGCUUCAUGGGCUGAUCUCCUUUUCAUCUUUCUGAUCCUUCCCAAGCCCAUACCGGCCCAAUUAUUCCAACCUCCUAAUCGGCCGAUUCCUCAUCGGCAAAGGGUAACCGAUCGGGAACCAGGCGUGUCCGAUCCAAACCCCAAGGGUUAAGCGAGGCAGAAUUCCUAAAGAUCCAUCGGCCGAUCCUGUACUGUAGCAUCGGCCGAUCCUGGACUGUAGCACCAACCAACCGAUCUCUAACUGUAGCGCCAUCCGGCCGAUUUCCAACUAUCACCCCUGUAUUCUACUAUACCUCCCAUUUCCUCUUCUCCUGACACCGAUUUUACUUGUGACGAAAUCUGGCGUCAACACAUGCCCCCCAGUUUCGGAGUAAAACAUAGUCUUUUACUUCGAAAUUCUUUUCAACUUCCCCUCCGAAACAACCGCAAUGAAAAUAUCCUUCCGUUUCGCGGUCUUCAUCCUGAUGAUUGCAAUCUUUUCAAAACGGGCGCCCACAACAACCACUACUCCCGAAAAACUCGAAAAGCCGGCGUGGUAAAAAUUCCAUUUUUACCCUUCAUCAGACACCCUUUAAAUAUCAGUACACCCCACACCUCCUUUUCGAGCUUACGUCCUUCUUCCUCAGCGCGCGAGCCUUCUUCUUCCUCCAGCACUUUCCCUUAGUUCC